AUUGAACGCUGGCGGCAUGCUUUACACAUGCAAGUCGAGCGGCAGCGGGAAAGUAGCUUGCUACUUUUGCCGGCGAGCGGCGGACGGGUGAGUAAUGCCUGGGAAAUUGCCCAGUCGAGGGGGAUAACAGUUGGAAACGACUGCUAAUACCGCAUACGCCCUACGGGGGAAAGCAGGGGACCUUCGGGCCUUGCGCGAUUGGAUAUGCCCAGGUGGGAUUAGCUAGUUGGUGAGGUAAUGGCUCACCAAGGCGACGAUCCCUAGCUGGUCUGAGAGGAUGAUCAGCCACACUGGAACUGCGACACGGUCCAGACUCCUACGGGAGGCAGCAGUGGGGAAUAUUGCACAAUGGGGGAAACCCGGAUGCAGCCAUGCCGCGUGUGUGAAGAAGGCCUUCGGGUUGUAAAGCACUUUCAGCGAGGAGGAAAGGUUGAUGCCUAAUACGUAUCAACUAUGACGUUACUCGCAGAAGAAGCACCGGCUAACUCCGUGCCAGCAGCCGCGGUAACAC
rnacentral:rRNA from 1 species